UACGUAGGGUGCAAGCGUUGUCCGGAAUUAUUGGGCGUAAAGCGUCCGUAGGUGGCUAGUCAAGUCUGCGGUCAAAGACUGGGGCUUAACCCUGGAAAGGCCGUGGAAACUGACGAGCUAGAGUGCAGUAGGGGUAGAGGGAAUUCCCGGUGUAGCGGUGAAAUGCGUAGAGCUCGGGAAGAACAUCGGUGGCGAAAGCGCUCUACUGGACUGCAACUGACACUCAGGGACGAAAGCUAGGGGAGCGAAUGGG
rnacentral:rRNA from 1 species